GCCCAAGAGAUCGGGAUAACACCUGGAAACAGAUGCUAAUACCGGAUAACAACAGAUGAUGCCUAUCAACUGUUUUAAAAAGAUGGUUCUGCUAUCACUCUUGGAUGGACCUGCGGUGCAUUAGCUAGUUGGUAGGGUAACGGCCUACCAAGGCGGUGAUGCAUAGCCGAGUUGAGAGACUGAUCGGCCACAUUGGGACUGAGACACGGCCCAAACUCCUACGGGAGGCAGCAGUAGGGAAUCUCCACAAUGGACGCAAGUCUGAUGGAGCAACGCCGCGUGAGUGAAGAAGGGUUUCGGCUCGUAAAGCUCUGUUGUUGGUGAAGAAGGACAGGGGUAGUAACUGACCUUUGUUUGACGGUAAUCAAUUAGAAAGUCACGGGCUAACUACGUGCCAGCAGCCGCGGUAAAU
rnacentral:rRNA from 1 species